UACGUAGGUCCCGAGCGUUGUCCGGAUUUAUUGGGCGUAAAGCGAGCGCAGGUGGUUUAUUAAGUCUGGUGUAAAAGGCAGUGGCUCAACCAUUGUAUGCAUUGGAAACUAGUAGACUUGAGUGCAGGAGAGGAGAGUGGAAUUCCAUGUGUAGCGGUGAAAUGCGUAGAUAUAUGGAGGAACACCGGUGGCGAAAGCGGCUCUCUGGCCUGUAACUGACACUGAAGCUCGAAAGCGUGGGGAGCAAACAGG
rnacentral:rRNA from 1 species